UGUUGGAACUGGCGGCCUUGAGUGCGCCAAGAGGCGCGUGGCAUUCGUGGUGUAGCCGGUGUACGCAUAGAUAUCACGAGGAACUCGGAUUGUGAAGGCUAGCGCGCUGGGCCCUAACUGACGCUGAUGCUCGAACGCCGCGGGUAUCAAACAGGAUUAGAUACCCUGGUAGUCCGCGCGGUAAACUAUGGACGCUCGCGGUGCGGGUCUUAGACUUACGCCGCCUAGCGAAAGCGUUAAGCGUCCCCCAUGGGGAGUACGCCGGCAACGGUGAAACUCAAAGGAAUUGACGGGGGCCCGCACAAGCGGAGGAACAUGUGGUUUAAUUCGAUGAUACGCGAGGAACCUUACCCGGGCUUGAAAUGUGCAUGACAGGGCGCAGAGACGCGCCCCUCCUUCGGGCAUGCAUGUAGGUGCUGCAUGGUUGUCGUCAGCUCGUGCCGUGAGGUGUCGGCUUAAGUGCCAUAACGAGCGCAACCCUUCCCCCCGGUUGCCAGCAGGUGAUGCUGGGCACUCCGUGGGCACUGCCAUCGCAAGAUGUGAGGAAGGCGGGGAUGACGUCAAAUCAGCACGGCCCUUACGUCCGGGGCCACACACGUGUUACAAUGGGGGGCACAGAAAGCCGGUCGCUGGCGACAGCGAUCCAAUCCUCAAAUCCCCUCCCAGUUCGGACUGGAGUCUGCAACCCGACUCCACGAAGCUGGAUUCGCUAGUAAUCGCGCAUCAGCCAUGGCGCGGUGAAUACGUUCCCGGGCCUUGUACACAC
rnacentral:rRNA from 1 species